rnacentral:rRNA from 1 species
GGGGGGCCCAUCCUCCAAGGCUAAAUACUCCUGACUGACCGAUAGUGAACCAGUACCGUGAGGGAAAGGCGAAAAGAACCCCGGCGAGGGGAGUGAAAAAGAACCUGAAACCGUGUACGUACAAGCAGUGGGAGCACGCUUAGGCGUGUGACUGCGUACCUUUUGUAUAAUGGGUCAGCGACUUAUAUUCUGUAGCAAGGUUAACCGAAUAGGGGAGCCGAAGGGAAACCGAGUCUUAACUGGGCGUUAAGUUGCAGGGUAUAGACCCGAAACCCGGUGAUCUAGCCAUGGGCAGGUUGAAGGUUGGGUAACACUAACUGGAGGACCGAACCGACUAAUGUUGAAAAAUUAGCGGAUGACUUGUGGCUGGGGGUGAAAGGCCAAUCAAACCGGGAGAUAGCUGGUUCUCCCCGAAAGCUAUUUAGGUAGCGCCUCGUGAAUUCAUCUCCGGGGGUAGAGCACUGUUUCGGCAAGGGGGUCAUCCCGACUUACCAACCCGAUGCAAACUGCGAAUACCGGAGAAUGUUAUCACGGGAGACACACGGCGGGUGCUAACGUCCGUCGUGAAGAGGGAAACAACCCAGACCGCCAGCUAAGGUCCCAAAGUCAUGGUUAAGUGGGAAACGAUGUGGGAAGGCCCAGACAGCCAGGAUGUUGGCUUAGAAGCAGCCAUCAUUUAAAGAAAGCGUAAUAGCUCACUGGUCGAGUCGGCCUGCGCGGAAGAUGUAACGGGGCUAAACCAUGCACCGAAGCUGCGGCAGCGACGCUUAUGCGUUGUUGGGUAGGGGAGCGUUCUGUAAGCCUGCGAAGGUGUGCUGUGAGGCAUGCUGGAGGUAUCAGAAGUGCGAAUGCUGACAUAAGUAACGAUAAAGCGGGUGAAAAGCCCGCUCGCCGGAAGACCAAGGGUUCCUGUCCAACGUUAAUCGGGGCAGGGUGAGUCGACCCCUAAGGCGAGGCCGAAAGGCGUAGUCGAUGGGAAACAGGUUAAUAUUCCUGUACUUGGUGUUACUGCGAAGGGGGGACGGAGAAGGCUAUGUUGGCCGGGCGACGGUUGUCCCGGUUUAAGCGUGUAGGCUGGUUUUCCAGGCAAAUCCGGAAAAUCAAGGCUGAGGCGUGAUGACGAGGCACUACGGUGCUGAAGCAACAAAUGCCCUGCUUCCAGGAAAAGCCUCUAAGCAUCAGGUAACAUCAAAUCGUACCCCAAACCGACACAGGUGGUCAGGUAGAGAAUACCAAGGCGCUUGAGAGAACUCGGGUGAAGGAACUAGGCAAAAUGGUGCCGUAACUUCGGGAGAAGGCACGCUGAUAUGUAGGUGAAGUCCCUUGCGGAUGGAGCUGAAAUCAGUCGAAGAUACCAGCUGGCUGCAACUGUUUAUUAAAAACACAGCACUGUGCAAACACGAAAGUGGACGUAUACGGUGUGACGCCUGCCCGGUGCCGGAAGGUUAAUUGAUGGGGUCAGCGCAAGCGAAGCUCUUGAUCGAAGCCCCGGUAAACGGCGGCCGUAACUAUAACGGUCCUAAGGUAGCGAAAUUCCUUGUCGGGUAAGUUCCGACCUGCACGAAUGGCGUAAUGAUGGCCAGGCUGUCUCCACCCGAGACUCAGUGAAAUUGAACUCGCUGUGAAGAUGCAGUGUACCCGCGGCAAGACGGAAAGACCCCGUGAACCUUUACUAUAGCUUGACACUGAACAUUGAGCCUUGAUGUGUAGGAUAGGUGGGAGGCUUUGAAGUG